AUGUUGUUGGGUAGGGGAGCGUUCUGUAAGCCUGUGAAGGUGUGCUGCGAGGCAUGCUGGAGGUAUCAGAAGUGCGAAUGCUGACAUAAGUAACGAUAAUGCGGGUGAAAAACCCGCACGCCGGAAGACCAAGGGUUCCUGUCCAACGUUAAUCGGGGCAGGGUGAGUCGACCCCUAAGGCGAGGCAGAAAUGCGUAGUCGAUGGGAAACAGGUUAAUAUUCCUGUACUGGUGAUAAUUGCGAUGGGGGGACGGAGAAGGCUAGGCUGGCCGGGCGACGGUUGUCCCGGUUUAAGGAUGUAGGUGGGUGAAUUAGGCAAAUCCGGUUCGCUAUACACUGAGGUCUGAUGACGAGUCACUACGGUGGCGAAGUAGCUCAUGCCCCGCUUCCAGGAAAAGCCUCUAAGCUCUAGAUUAUCAUUAAUCGUACCCCAAACCGACACAGGUGGUCAGGUAGAGAAUACUCAGGCGCUUGAGAGAACUCGGGUGAAGGAACUAGGCAAAAUGGUGCCGUAACUUCGGGAGAAGGCACGCUGGCAUUAGGUGAAGUGGUUUACCCAUGGAGCUGAAGCCAGUCGCAGAUACCAGCUGGCUGCAACUGUUUAUUAAAAACACAGCACUGUGCAAACACGAAAGUGGACGUAUACGGUGUGACGCCUGCCCGGUGCUGGAAGGUUAAUUGAUGGGGUUAUCCGUAAGGAGAAGCUCUUGAUCGAAGCCCCAGUAAACGGCGGCCGUAACUAUAACGGUCCUAAGGUAGCGAAAUUCCUUGUCGGGUAAGUUCCGACCUGCACGAAUGGCGUAAUGAUGGCCAGGCUGUCUCCACCCGAGACUCAGUGAAAUUGAACUCGCUGUGAAGAUGCAGUGUACCCGCGGCAAGACGGAAAGACCCCGUGAACCUUUACUAUAGCUUGACACUGAACAUUGAGCCUUGAUGUGUAGGAUAGGUGGGAGGCUUUGAAGUGUGGACGCCAGUCUGCAUGGAGCCAACCUUGAAAUACCACCCUUUAAUGUUUGAUGUUCUAACGUUGCCCCAUAAUCUGGGGUGCGGACAGUGUCUGGUGGGUAGUUUGACUGGGGCGGUCUCCUCCCAAAGCGUAACGGAGGAGCACGAAGGUUGGCUAAGCAUGGUCGGACAUCAUGCGGUUAGUGCAAAGGCAUAAGCCAGCUUGACUGCGAGAGUGACGGCUCGAGCAGGUACGAAAGUAGGUCUUAGUGAUCCGGUGGUUCUGAAUGGAAGGGCCAUCGCUCAACGGAUAAAAGGUACUCCGGGGAUAACAGGCUGAUACCGCCCAAGAGUUCAUAUCGACGGCGGUGUUUGGCACCUCGAUGUCGGCUCAUCACAUCCUGGGGCUGAAGUAGGUCCCAAGGGUAUGGCUGUUCGCCAUUUAAAGUGGUACGCGAGCUGGGUUUAGAACGUCGUGAGACAGUUCGGUCCCUAUCUGCCGUGGGCGUUGGAAGAUUGAAAGGGGCUGCUCCUAGUACGAGAGGACCGGAGUGGACGCACCGCUGGUGUUCGGGUUGUCAUGCCAAUGGCACUGCCCGGUAGCUAAGUGCGGAAGAGAUAACCGCUGAAAGCAUCUAAGCGGGAAACUUGCCUUGAGAUGAGUCUUCCCUGACUCUUUAAGGGUCCUAAAGGAACGUUUAAGACGAAGACGUUGAUAGGCUGGGUGUGUAAGCGUAGCGAUACGUUGAGCUAACCAGUACUAAUGAACCGUGAGGCUUAACCUG
rnacentral:rRNA from 1 species